rnacentral:tRNA from 1 species
UAGAUCGAAGUCCGCCGGUUUGGACAGCUAGCUGUUAACUAGCUUUUGUGGGAUCGAGGCCUACUGGUCUAG